rnacentral:rRNA from 1 species
GAUGAACGCUAGCUACAGGCUUAACACAUGCAAGUCGAGGGGCAGCAUGAAUAUUGGCUUGCCAAUAUUUGAUGGCGACCGGCGCACGGGUGAGUAACACGUAUCCAACCUUCCGGUUACUCGGGGAUAGGCUUUCGAAAGAAAGAUUAAUACCCGAUGUUGUGUAUCUUUCUCCUGAAAGAUACGCCAAAGGAUUCCGGUAACCGAUGGGGAUGCGUUCCAUUAGGCAGUUGGCGGGGUAACGGCCCACCAAACCUUCGAUGGAUAGGGGUUCUGAGAGGAAGGUCCCCCACAUUGGAACUGAGACACGGUCCAAGCUCCUACGGGAGGCAGCAGUGAGGAAUAUUGGUCAAUGGACGGAAGUCUGAACCAGCCAAGUAGCGUGAAGGAUGACUGCCCUCUGGGUUGUAAACUUCUUUUAUACGGGAAUAACAUGAGGUACGCGUACCUUAUUGCAUGUACCGUUAUGAAUAAGCAUCGGCUAACUCCGUGCCAGCAGCCGCGGUAAUACGGAGGAUGCGAGCGUUAUCCGGAUUUAUUGGGUUUAAAGGGAGCGUAGGUGGGAUAUUAAGUCAGCUGUGAAAGUUUGGGGCUCAACCUUAAAAUUGCAGUUGAUGCUGGUUUCCUUGAGUACGGUACAGGUGGGCGGAAUUCGUGGUGUAGCGGUGAAAUGCUUAGAUAUCACGAAGAACUCCGAUCGCGAAGGCAGCUCACCGGGCCGGAACUGACACUGAUGCUCGAAAGUGCGGGUAUCAAACAGGAUUAGAUACCCUGGUAGUCCGCACAGUAAACGAUGAAUACUCGCUGUUUGCGAUACACUGUAAGCGGCCAAGCGAAAGCGUUAAGUAUUCCACCUGGGGAGUACGCCGGCAACGGUGAAACUCAAAGGAAUUGACGGGGGCCCGCACAAGCGGAGGAACAUGUGGUUUAAUUCGAUGAUACGCGAGGAACCUUACCCGGGCUUAAAUUGCGCUGGCUUUUACCGGAAACGGUAUUUUCUUCGGACCAGCGUGAAGGUGCUGCAUGGUUGUCGUCAGCUCGUGCCGUGAGGUGUCGGCUUAAGUGCCAUAACGAGCGCAACCCUUAUCUUUAGUUACUAACAGUUUUGCUGAGGACUCUAAAGAGACUGCCGUCGUAAGAUGCGAGGAAGGUGGGGAUGACGUCAAAUCAGCACGGCCCUUACGUCCGGGGCUACACACGUGUUACAAUGGGGAGCACAGCAGGUUGCUACACGGCGACGUGAUGCCAAUCCGUAAAACUCCUCUCAGUUCGGAUCGAAGUCUGCAACCCGACUUCGUGAAGCUGGAUUCGCUAGUAAUCGCGCAUCAGCCACGGCGCGGUGAAUACGUUCCCGGGCCU